GAUGAAGAACGCAGCGAAAUGCGAUACGUAGUGUGAAUUGCAGAAUUCAGUGAAUCAUCGAAUCUUUGAACGCACAUUGCACCUCUCGGUAUUCCGGGAGGUAUGCCUGUUCGAGCGUCAUUUGUACCCUCAAGCUCUGCUUGGUGUUGGGCCCCGCCGCCCCGGCGGGCCCUAAAGUCAGUGGCGGUGCCGUCCGGCUCCGAGCGUAGUAAUUCUUCUCGCUCUGGAGGUCCGGUCGUGUGCUCGCCAGCAACCCCCAAUUUUUUUCAGGUUGACCUCGGAUCAGGUAGGGAUACCCGCUGAACUUAAGCAUAUCAAUAAGCGGAGGA
rnacentral:misc_RNA from 1 species